rnacentral:rRNA from 1 species
AUUGAACGCUGGCGGCAGGCCUAACACAUGCAAGUCGAGCGGAUGAAGGGAGCUUGCUCCUGGAUUCAGCGGCGGACGGGUGAGUAAUGCCUAGGAAUCUGCCUGGUAGUGGGGGAUAACGUCCGGAAACGGGCGCUAAUACCGCAUACGUCCUGAGGGAGAAAGUGGGGGAUCUUCGGACCUCACGCUAUCAGAUGAGCCUAGGUCGGAUUAGCUAGUUGGUGGGGUAAAGGCUACCAAGGCGACGAUCCGUAACUGGUCUGAGAGGAUGAUCAGUCACACUGGAACUGAGACACGGACCAGACUACUACGGGAGGCAGCAGUGGCGAAUAGUGGACAAUGGGCGAAAGCCUGAUCCAGCCAUGCCGCGUGUGUGACGAAGGUCUUCGGAUUGUAAAGCACUUUAAGUUGGGAGGAAGGGCAGUAAGUUAAUACCUUGCUGUUUUGACGUUACCAACAGAAUAAGCACCGGCUAACUUCGUG